rnacentral:lncRNA from 1 species
AAAAUUUUAUUUGAUGCAUUAUAUAUAAACCUAUGAACCUUGAAGGGGAUUUGCAUGACUAUAGCUUUGAUAAUUUGUUUUAAAUGCUUCCACUGCUUUCGUAUAUUAAAUUUGAUUUGUAUAUGCAUGAUAGUCAUUUAGAAAUCCCAUCCAUGAAUCUCAAAGAUUUCCCUUCAUCACUUUUGUGUCCCUAUCCAAAUGGUUCACUAAGUUUAUUAUAAACUAUAUAGUGAACAAUAACCACACGCUCUCCAAAUUGUUUGAUGUAUAUAACACAAUUGAAAUAAAUUUCAAGAGAGAUAGUGGGAGUUUAGGGACCAUGACUAUUGUAGUCAAAGGAGAAGUCAAAUGAAGAAGGCGAAAUAACUCCAAGGGAACAAACUUUCUUUAUUAAAGGAUGGACAUUGGAAGGGGUAUUUGCAAGAAAUGUCUUGCAAGUGUCAAGAACACACCUUUCGAAGGUGUUGUAAAUUGUUCUUGAAUAGUUCAAAAUAGUUGGUUCUUCUACUUGAAUGCUUGAUUCCGUAUUAGUAACUAUGUUUUACAAUCGUUGUAAAAGUGUGGCUAAUAAGAAGUAGAAGAUUAAUGAGAGAAGAGAAAGUACUUCACAUUCGGAACGUGAAUCAAAUGUAGAUCUCUGCGAAAGUAGGUAAUUCUUACUUCCUCAUAUGAACAACCAAAGAAAAUGGAAAAACAAAGAUUGUCUUUACAUUCCAAUUGAAUAAAGGAACUUAAUUCCGUAUGAGAAAUGGAUAAAUGUUUUGUUUGACAAAACAUUGUUCUUUAUUAAUGAAUGAUUAGAUUAUUAUAAUCUAAUUGAUUAUCUCUAUAGUAGAGAUGAUAUGGUAGUGUUAACUGUUUAGAAUAUAACGAUGCUUAAAACCCAAAAGGUUGCAAGGUAGUGACUAAUCCCCAACUGAGUUGUGAUACCUCUAAAACAUUAAAUUACGAGUUGGUCAUAGAUGGAUGCUUUGGAUCGUUAGAUCCAGAUCCAAUGCCUUCUUGUUAAAAUUGUAUAGAGGCAAAAUGUUUGAAUCUUUAUUCUUUUGGAAAGGAAGAAAGAAUCACAAAGUUGUUGAGGUUAAUUCACUUAUAUUUUAGUGGCACUUGUCCACAACAUAAUACUACUCAUGUUGUAUAACAUUCACCGAAGAUCGCUCUCGGUUGGACUAUCGUUUAUUAUGAAUAAACACAAGUCCGAAUACUUUGCAAAAGGUUUCGAAGAAUUCAAGAAUGUAAGUUGAUGAGUAAGACAUCUAAAGUAUUUAUCUCCUUAGAUUUGAUCUAAGGAAAGGUAACACUUUAGAACAGUUUCCUUGAAAGAUAUCAAGGAAAGAAGCAUCAUAAGAUAAUGGAUUUCUCUAUUAGGAGAAGAACGAACUUGAAUAAGAUUUAGUUUGUUGGAUGUUAUCAAUUAUCCAUAUAUAGGAUAAAUACUUCUAAGCCAAUAUGAUUGUCAAUUAGAAGAUCUUCCAACAUUUUCAUGACUCCAUAGGAUGUAGUUGGAAAGAAAGAUAAGUCUUAAUCAUAUUAAGAUUUGGGGUUGUGUGCUAAUAAGCAAUAUUUGUUUGAGAAUUAUCUUGUGGAUAUCCUUAAAUUAACCUUUGGAUAUCACUUCUAUAAGCCAACUAACAAAUGUUGUUUUGUUGGGUAGUUCAUUGUAAUCCUACAAUAUGAUUUGCCUAAGCGUAAAUGAACAAGAGAUAGAACUCAAAGAAUGGGUUCUUUGAGAGACAAGAUGAUAAUCAACAAAUAUAACAACCUAGUUCCUACACCACAAGAUCCAAGGUAGUUGAGAAGGAUUUAUAAACUGUCUCAGUUGAAUGGUUUGAACUUUAUGACUAUGUCAUAGAGUUACACCUCUUAAUUCGAAAGAAAUAAGAAUGAAAAUCCUUAUGACUACAUUGAGUGUAUAUACGACAUAUACUCAAGGAAAUGGUAAAGUACCAUUUGACUCGAAAUAAUGAAACCUUCAUAACUAAUUGGUAGCUUAAGGUGACUACAAUCAAAGAGAAUGGUUGACUUGGAAGAAACCAUCUUUGACAUAGUCUUGGUUUAAAUUAAUUCAAAGAUUGCUAGCUACAACUAAAUGGUGAUUCAAUGUUUGGACAUAAUAUGGGUUUCCGAAACCAUUAUUAAGAUAAUCAUGAUAAUGUGUCUGAAACUAUGAAUCACAAGACAUGUAAGUUGUAGAGAUUCAUCCAUCAUGAAUCUUAGCAAGCUAGUGGGAGCUAUAAGCGUCUUAUGAGAGAAAGAUCAAAUCAUUUGAUUUCUCAUAAAGAUGUAAAUGAAUCUUUUGUUUACUAGGUUUACAAAAGAUUAGUGGGAGUUA